rnacentral:rRNA from 1 species
AUGUUGCAGGCUGGAAGGCGGUCGUCGAGUGUGAUCUACAAUGAGCUAACGAGUACAAGUGCUUUCAGGACACCUGCAAAUGGCACCGGUGGAGUUCUUAAGGCGCUGCAAGAGAGGUACCGAUCAAGCUACGUCGGUAGCUUCGCGCGUAGGCUACGGGACUUUGACACGCCAAGUGACGCCUCCCUUCUUAAAGAGAUCUACAGAAGUAACCCAGAAAGAGUCGUCCAGAUCUUCGAGAGCCAGCCUUCCUUACAUAACAACUCUUCGGCUCUCUCCCAGUAUGUGAAGGCUCUUGUCGCUCUCGACAGGCUGGAUGAAAGCCCGCUGCUUAAGACAUUGCAGAGAGGAAUUGUCAAUUCAGCAAGGGAGGAAGAAGGGCUUAGUGGCAUCCCAGCAUUUCAAAGUGUUGGCCGUACGACGAAAGAUGGGGCUCUUGGUACUGCUGGUGCACCAAUUCACAUGGUUGCAUCAGAGACUGGCCAAUUCAAGGAGCAGCUUUGGCGUACCUUCCGAAGCAUUGCACUCACUUUCCUAGUAAUCUCCGGCAUCGGGGCUCUGAUUGAAGAUAGAGGAAUUAGUAAAGGCCUUGGAUUGCAUGAAGAGGUUCAGCCAAGCUUGGAUUCGAGCACAAAAUUCAGUGAUGUCAAGGGGGUUGAUGAAGCUAAAGCUGAACUCGAGGAAAUAGUUCACUACCUACGAGAUCCCAAGCGUUUCACACGCCUUGGUGGCAAGCUUCCAAAAGGCGUUUUGCUUGUCGGCCCACCCGGGACAGGGAAAACCAUGUUGGCAAGGGCCAUCGCUGGGGAAGCUGGUGUUCCUUUCUUCUCCUGCAGUGGCAGUGAGUUUGAGGAGAUGUUUGUGGGUGUCGGGGCGAGAAGAGUGAGGGAUCUCUUCAGUGCAGCAAAGAAGAGAUCUCCUUGUAUAAUUUUCAUUGAUGAAAUUGAUGCAAUUGGUGGGAGCAGAAACCCAAAAGAUCAACAGUAUAUGAAGAUGACCUUGAACCAGUUACUUGUUGAGCUGGAUGGCUUUAAGCAGAAUGAUGGGAUCAUUGUAAUUGCAGCAACAAACUUCCCCCAGUCACUAGAUAAAGCCCUUGUUAGGCCUGGGCGUUUUGACCGUCAUAUCGUGGUCCCUAACCCAGAUGUUGAGGGCCGACGGCAGAUCCUGGAGACUCACAUGUCAAAGGUGUUAAAAGCAGACGAUGUGGAUCUGAUGACCAUUGCCAGGGGAACACCUGGAUUCUCAGGUGCAGACCUUGCAAACCUGGUGAACGUGGCUGCUCUCAAGGCUGCCAUGGAUGGAGCGAAAUCUGUUUCAAUGACCGACCUCGAGUUUGCCAAGGACAGGAUCAUGAUGGGCAGCGAGCGCAAAUCAGCAGUGAUAUCCGACGAAAGCAGGAAGAUGACUGCAUACCAUGAGGGAGGGCAUGCGCUGGUCGCGAUACACACGGCCGGUGCCCACCCUGUCCACAAGGCCACCAUUGUUCCCAGGGGAAUGGCUCUGGGCAUGGUCACGCAGCUGCCAGAGAAGGACCAGACCAGCGUGUCUAGGAAGCAGAUGCUGGCAAGGCUGGAUGUCUGCAUGGGAGGGCGGGUGGCCGAGGAGCUUAUAUUUGGGGAGAGCGAGGUAACGUCGGGCGCUUCGUCCGACCUGAGCCAAGCGACCCGGCUGGCCAAGGCCAUGGUGACCAAGUACGGCAUGAGCAAGCGCGUGGGCCUCGUGGCCUACAACUACGACGACGACGGCAAGACCAUGAGCACGCAGACGCGGGGCCUGGUGGAGCAGGAGGUGAAGGAGCUGCUGGAGACGGCCUACAACAACGCCAAGACGAUCCUCACGACCCACAACAAGGAGCUGCACGCGCUCGCCAACGCCCUCAUCGAGCGCGAGACCCUCACUGGCGCCCAGAUCAAGAACCUUCUGUCGCAGGUAAACAGCAGCAGUGACACCCAGCAGCCCCAGGCCGCCGAGGUUCCACAGCAAACACCUGCUGCCCCAGCCUCGCCCCAGUCUCCAGCAGCAGCGGCUGCGGCCGCUGCAGCAGCUGCAGCACAGCAAGCGGCGGCUCAAGCCAAAGGAGUCGCAGGCAUCGGGUCCUAG